CCUACGGGUGGCAGCAGUAGGGAAUCUUUCACAAUGGGCGAAAGCCUGAUGGAGCAACGCCGCGUGCAGGAUGAAGGCCUUCGGGUUGUAAACUGCUCUCAUAAGCGAGAAAUAUGAUGGUAACUUAUGAAUAAGGAUCGGCUAACUACGUGCCAGCAGCCGCGGUGAUACGUAGGAGACGAGUAUUAUCCGGAGAGACUGGGGGUAAAGAGUUACGUAGGUGGCAUAGUAAGUAGCUAGUGAAAUCUGGUGGCUCAACCAUUCAGACUAUUAGCGAAACUGCUAAGCUCGAGACCGUUAGGGGUAACUGGAAUUUCUAGUGUAGGAGUGAAAUGCGUAGAUAUUAGAAGGAACACCGAUAGCGUAGGCAGGUUACUGGGACGGGUCUGACACUAAGGCACGAAAGCGUAGGGAGCAAACGGGAUUAGAUACCCUUGUAGUC
rnacentral:rRNA from 1 species